GAAGUGAGUGGCGAACGGGUGAGUAACACGUGGGUAACCUGCCCAGAAGUAGGGGAUAACACCUGGAAACAGAUGCUAAUACCGUAUAACAGAGAAAACCGCAUGGUUUUCUUUUAAAAGAUGGCUCUGCUAUCACUUCUGGAUGGACCCGCGGCGUAUUAGCUAGUUGGUGAGGUAAAGGCUCACCAAGGCAGUGAUACGUAGCCGACCUGAGAGGGUAAUCGGCCACAUUGGGACUGAGACACGGCCCAGACUCCUACGGGAGGCAGCAGUAGGGAAUCUUCCACAAUGGACGCAAGUCUGAUGGAGCAACGCCGCGUGAGUGAAGAAGGGUUUCGGCUCGUAAAGCUCUGUUGUUAAAGAAGAACGUGGGUAAGAGUAACUGUUUACCCAGUGACGGUAUUUAACCAGAAAGCCACGGCUAACUACGUGCCAGCAGCCGCGGUAAUACGUAGGUGGCAAGCGUUAUCCGGAUUUAUUGGGCGUAAAGCGAGCGCAG
rnacentral:rRNA from 1 species